rnacentral:misc_RNA from 1 species
CUUCGAUUCGUGAAAAUUCUAUUCAUUAUAUCCGCGGUCGUUGAAUAAUAAGUUCAUAAAUUUGAAAUAUACGUAAAAAAAACCAUCUCAGAUCCCAUAAUUACCUCCAGCGUCUCUUCGGCACAACGAUACCCAUCAAAAACCAUCCAUUUGCACAUCGGCGGUCUUUUGACCCCCGUAAUCGAUAGCUAUCGUCCACUACUGGUUGAGCAGAGUGUUGGUCACCUCAGAGAUGGACAGCAAAGGACUCCCGGUGUCCGGCUUUGGAUCUGCGGGCCCAUUAUUUGACCCACAACGUGAUGAUGGUGGUGCCCCGGAUGGUAGGAUACGGUGUUGUUGUUGUUGUUGUUGUUGUUGUUGUUGCUGUUGCUGCUGCUGGUUGUGAUGCUGGUGGACGUGAUGCUGUUGCUGCUGGUGUUGUUGCUGCUGCUGGUGGUGCUGCUGCUGCUGGUGGUGGUGGUGGUGGUGGUGAAAGGGCCGAGGCAGGCCAAUACAUAAAAAUAAGAUAAAUUUCAGACUCCGGCGACGCGGUGAUGAAUGGCGGGAUGAAUCAUUGAAUGGUUAAACACACAUAGCCGCUGAGCGCCGCUCUUCCCGUUCGUACACGCCCGAGGAGUAGGACCUCGCGGGGAUACGCGAGAGGAGGAUAGUUUGAAGAAAAUAAAAGAAAAUUAAAUAGAGAUGAGAAAUAAGGUGGAAAAAGUUCACCUACUCUGGAAAAAAAAGGUAGACGAAAAUUCCAACGUCUCCUUCAUUCGUAUUAUUCGUUGUAG